GGGGGCCCAGCAAUGGGCAACCGGCGAACGGGUGCGUAACACGUGAGCAACCUACCGAACUGUGGGGGAUAGCCGGCCUAACGGCCGAGUAAUACCGCAUACGCUUUCAGUGAGGCAUUUCAUUGAAAGGAAACCUACGGGACAGAUCGAGGGGCUCGCGGCCUAUCAGCUAGUUGGCGAGGUAACGGCUCACCAAGGCAACGACGGGUAGCUGGUCUGAGAGGAUGGCCAGCCACAUUGGGACUGAGAUACGGCCCAGACUCCUACGGGAGGCAGCAGUGGGGAAUCUUGCGCAAUGGCCUAACGGCUGACGCAGCGACGCCGCGUGUGGGAUGAAGCUCUUCGGAGUGUAAACCACUGUUGCCCGGGACGAACAGCUCGAUUAAUCGAGCCUGACGGUACCGGGUGAGGAAGCACCGGCUAACUCCGUGCCAGCAGCCGCGGUAAUACGGGGGGUGCGAGCGUUGUCCGGAAUCACUGGGCGUAAAGGGCGCGUAGGUGGUUUGAUAAGGGUGUGGUGAAAGUCCGGGGCUCAACCCCGGAUCUGCCGUGCCGACUGUCAAACUCGAGGGCUGUAGAGGCAGACGGAAUUCCGGGUGUAGCGGUGGAAUGCGUAGAGAUCCGGAGGAAGACCGGUGGCGAAGGCGGUCUGCUGGGCAGUUUCUGACACUGAUGCGCGACAGCGUGGGGAGCAAACAGGAUUAGAUACCCUGGUAGUCCACGCCGUAAACGAUGGGUACUAGGUGCCUGGGGGAGCGACCCUCUGGGUGCCGGCGCUAACGCA
rnacentral:rRNA from 1 species